rnacentral:rRNA from 1 species
UACAGAGGUGGCAAGCGUUGUUCGGAAUUACUGGGCGUAAAGGGCGAGUAGGUGGCCAUCUAAGUCAGACGUGAAAUCCCCCGGCUUAACCUAGGGCAACUGCGUGCUGAUACUGGACGCUUGAGUAUGGGAGAGGAAUGUAGAAUUCCAGGUGUAGCGGUGAAAUGCGUAGAUAUCUGGAGGAAUACCGGUGGCGAAGGCGGCAUUCUGGACCAUUACUGACACUGAAUCGCGAAAGCUAGGGGAGCAACGGG